CAAUAGCGUAUACUAAAGUUGCUGCAGUUAAAAAGCUCGUAGUUGGAUUUCUGGUCGUGGUCGCCGGUCGUGCCCAAACGGGUUCUGUACCUGGCGCCCGCGUCCAUCCUCGGGGAGAGCGUGUCUGGCAUUAAGUUGUCGGGCUCGGGGACCCCGUCCCAGUUUCAACUUUAGUCGUGAUGGCAAAAAGUACGAAAAAUGUAGGUUAGCAAAUGGCUUCAAAGGGCCAGGCUUUUAAGGGGCCCCAAUGAAAUACAUUAGCAUGGAAUAAUAAGAUAAGACCUUGGUCUAUUUUGUUGGUUGCAUUCCAAGGUAAUGAUUAAUAGGGAUAGUUGGGGUGAUUCGUAUUCAAUUGUCAGAGGUGAAAUUCUUGGAUUUAUGAAAGAUGAACUUAGGCGAAAGCAUUUACCAAGGAUGUUUUUCAUUAAUCAAGAACGAAAGUUAGGGGAUCGAAGACGAUUAGAU
rnacentral:rRNA from 1 species